UAUACAUGCAAGUCGAGCGGACAGAUGGGAGCUUGCUCCCUGAUGUUAGCGGCGGACGGGUGAGUAACACGUGGGUAACCUGCCUGUAAGACUGGGAUAACUCCGGGAAACCGGGGCUAAUACCGGAUGGUUGUUUGAACCGCAUGGUUCAAACAUAAAAGGUGGCUUCGGCUACCACUUACAGAUGGACCCGCGGCGCAUUAGCUAGUUGGUGAGGUAACGGCUCACCAAGGCAACGAUGCGUAGCCGACCUGAGAGGGUGAUCGGCCACACUGGGACUGAGACACGGCCCAGACUCCUACGGGAGGCAGCAGUAGGGAAUCUUCCGCAAUGGACGAAAGUCUGACGGAGCAACGCCGCGUGAGUGAUGAAGGUUUUCGGAUCGUAAAGCUCUGUUGUUAGGGAAGAACAAGUACCGUUCGAAUAGGGCGGUACCUUGACGGUACCUAACCAGAAAGCCACGGCUAACUACGUGCCAGCAGCCGCGGUAAUACGUAGGUGGCAAGCGUUGUCCGGAAUUAUUGGGCGUAAAGGGCUCGCAGGCGGUUUCUUAAGUCUGAUGUGAAAGCCCCCGGCUCAACCGGGGAGGGUCAUUGGAAACUGGGGAACUUGAGUGCAGAAGAGGAGAGUGGAAUUCCACGUGUAGCGGUGAAAUGCGUAGAGAUGU
rnacentral:rRNA from 1 species